CCCGAGGUGAAGUGGGACUCCCCGGCGUCAAAGGUGACAGAGGUUCUAUCGGACCACCAGGACCUAAAGGUGACCAGGGUGAGAAAGGACCCCGAGGCCUCACAGGUCAGUCCUACAUGGG